AUUGAACGCUGGCGGCAUGCCUUACACAUGCAAGUCGAACGGCAGCACGGGAGCAAUCCUGGUGGCGAGUGGCGAACGGGUGAGUAAUAUAUCGGAACGUGCCCAGUCGUGGGGGAUAACGUAGCGAAAGCUACGCUAAUACCGCAUACGAUCUAUGGAUGAAAGCGGGGGGAUCGCAAGACCUCGCGCGAUUGGAGCGGCCGAUAUCAGAUUAGGUAGUUGGUGAGGUAAAGGCUCACCAAGCCGACGAUCUGUAGCUGGUCUGAGAGGACGACCAGCCACACUGGGACUGAGACACGGCCCAGACUCCUACGGGAGGCAGCAGUGGGGAAUUUUGGACAAUGGGCGCAAGCCUGAUCCAGCAAUGCCGCGUGCAGGAUGAAGGCCU
rnacentral:rRNA from 1 species